UUAAGUUAAUAAGGGCGCACGGUGGAUGCCUUGGCACUAGGAGCCGACGAAGGACGUGACAAACGACGAUAUGCCUUGGGUAGCUGUAAGUAAGCGAUGAUCCAGGGAUUUCCGAAUGGGGGAACCCAACAGGUAAUACCUGUUACCCACAUCUGUUAAGGAUGUGAGGAGGAAGACGCAGUGAACUGAAACAUCUAAGUAGCUGCAGGAAGAGAAAGCAAAAGCGAUUGCCUUAGUAGCGGCGAGCGAAACGGCAGAAGGGCAAACCGAAGAGUUUACUCUUCGGGGUUGUAGGACUGCAAUGUGGACUCAAAGAUUAUAGAAGAAUGAUUUGGGAAGAUCAGCCAAAGAGAGUAAUAGCCUCGUAUUUAAAAUAGUCUUUGUACCUAGCAGUAUCCUGAGUACGGCGGGACACGUGAAAUCCCGUCGGAAUCUGGGAGGACCAUCUCCCAACCCUAAAUACUCCCUAGUGACCGAUAGUGAACCAGUACCGUGAGGGAAAGGUGAAAAGCACCCCGGGAGGGGAGUGAAAUAGAACCUGAAACCGUGUGCCUACAACAAGUUCGAGCCCGUUAAUGGGUGAGAGCGUGCCUUUUGUAGAAUGAACCGGCGAGUUACGUUAUGAUGCGAGGUUAAGUUGAAGAGACGGAGCCGUAGGGAAACCGAGUCUGAAUAGGGCGCCUUAGUAUCAUGACGUAGACCCGAAACCAUGUGACCUACCCAUGAGCAGGUUGAAGGUGCGGUAAGACGCACUGGAGGACCGAACCAGGGCACGUUGAAAAGUGCUUGGAUGACUUGUGGGUAGCGGAGAAAUUCCAAACGAACUUGGAGAUAGCUGGUUCUCUCCGAAAUAGCUUUAGGGCUAGCGUCGACAUUAGAGAUUCUUGGAGGUAGAGCACUGUUUGGGUGAGGGGUCCAUCCCGGAUUACCAAUCUCAGAUAAACUCCGAAUGCCAAUGAAUUAUGGUCGGCAGUCAGACUGCGAGUGCUAAGAUCCGUAGUCGAAAGGGAAACAGCCCAGACCACCAGCUAAGGUCCCAAAAUAAUUGUUAAGUGGAAAAGGAUGUGGGGUUGCACAGACAACUAGGAUGUUAGCUUAGAAGCAGCUAUUCAUUCAAAGAGUGCGUAAUAGCUCACUAGUCGAGUGACCCUGCGCCGAAAAUGUACCGGGGCUAAAACAAUUUACCGAAGCUGUGGAUACCUUUAUAGGUAUGGUAGGAGAGCGUUCUAUGUGUGAUGAAGGUAUACCGUGAGGAGUGCUGGAACGCAUAGAAGUGAGAAUGCCGGUAUGAGUAGCGAAAGACAGGUGAGAAUCCUGUCCACCGUAAGACUAAGGUUUCCAGGGGAAGGCUCGUCCGCCCUGGGUUAGUCGGGACCUAAGGAGAGACCGAAAGGUGUAUCCGAUGGACAACAGGUUGAUAUUCCUGUACUAGAGUAUGUAGUGAUGGAGGGACGCAGUAGGCUAACUAAAGCAGACGAUUGGAAGAGUCUGUCUAAGCAGUGAGGUGUGAAUUGAGUCAAAUGCUUAAUUCUAUAACAUUGAGCUGUGAUGGGGAGCGAAGUUUAGUAGCGAAGUUAGUGACGUCACACUGCCAAGAAAAGCUUCUAGCGUUUAAACAUACUCUACCCGUACCGCAAACCGACACAGGUAGUCGAGGCGAGUAGCCUCAGGUGAGCGAGAGAACUCUCGUUAAGGAACUCGGCAAAAUGACCCCGUAACUUCGGGAGAAGGGGUGCUGACUUAAAGUCAGCCGCAGUGAAUAGGCCCAAGCAACUGUUUAUCAAAAACACAGCUCUCUGCUAAAUCGUAAGAUGAUGUAUAGGGGGUGACGCCUGCCCGGUGCUGGAAGGUUAAGAGGAGUGCUUAGCGUAAGCGAAGGUAUGAAUUGAAGCCCCAGUAAACGGCGGCCGUAACUAUAACGGUCCUAAGGUAGCGAAAUUCCUUGUCGGGUAAGUUCCGACCCGCACGAAAGGCGUAAUGAUUUGGGCACUGUCUCAACGAGAGACUCGGUGAAAUUUUAGUACCUGUGAAGAUGCAGGUUACCCGCGACAGGACGGAAAGACCCCAUGGAGCUUUACUGCAGUUUGAUAUUGAGUGUCUGUACCACAUGUACAGGAUAGGUAGGAGUCUAAGAGAUCGGGACGCCAGUUUCGAAGGAGACGCUGUUGGGAUACUACCCUUGUGUUAUGGCCACUCUAACCCAGAUAGGUGAUCCCUAUCGGAGACAGUGUCUGACGGGCAGUUUGACUGGGGCGGUCGCCUCCUAAAAGGUAACGGAGGCGCCCAAAGGUUCCCUCAGAAUGGUUGGAAAUCAUUCGCAGAGUGUAAAGGUAUAAGGGAGCUUGACUGCGAGAGCUACGACUCGAGCAG
rnacentral:rRNA from 1 species